ensembl:lncRNA
CGUGGAGGGUUGCAGUCCAUCGGCACGUGGUGGAGGACUUAUUAAGAACCAUAAUCCACUGUGGAAGAACUCCAUGCCCAAGCUUAACCAUGAACUUGCUAAGCUAGAGAGGAAAGCACCAGAGUGUUUUCCAAUGAGUCAGCUCUUCACAUCAGGAGGCCAAAGUAUUGGAACUUCAGCUUCAACAUCCCUUAAGGAGGAACCAAAGUUGUGCCAGCGCAGGUUCAUCUCUCCAGGCAUUCUUUUCCCAUCAGAGGAAACUUGAAGAUGCUCAGGACCACACCAAGUGGUGGUCGGUGCAGGAGGUCAGCGUGGUGACACCAACUGGAGGCUCUCUCCUGGGUGAUUUCCUGAAAUCAGCUCCCCACGGCACAGGCCCCCAUCUAUUGUCACCAAAGCUAGCUUGUCCCAGCUCCAUAUUUUUAUCUUCUCUUGCUUUUGAUAAAACGAAUGUAUAUCCUUUCCCAAGAGAGCAUUAAAGAUA